rnacentral:rRNA from 1 species
AUUGAACGCUGGCGGCAGGCCUAACACAUGCAAGUCGAGCGGAUGAGUGGAGCUUGCUCCAUGAUUCAGCGGCGGACGGGUGAGUAAUGCCUAGGAAUCUGCCUGGUAGUGGGGGACAACGUUUCGAAAGGAACGCUAAUACCGCAUCCUUCCUACGGGGGAAAGCGGGGGACCUCCGGGCUUGGCGUUACCAGACGAGCUAGGGUCGGUUUAGCUAGUUGGUGGGGUAAAGGCCUACCAAGGCGACGUUCCGUAACUGGUCUGAGAGGAUGAUCAGUCACACUGGAACAGAGACACGGUCCAGACUCCGACGGGAGGCAGCAGUGGGGAAUAUUGGACAAUGGGCGAAAGCCUGAUCCAGCCAUGCCGCGUGUGUGAAGAAGGUCUUCGGAUUGUAAAGCACUUUAAGUUGGGAGGAAGGGCAGUAAGUUAAUACCUUGCUGUUUUGACGUUACCAACAGAAUAAGCACCGGCUAACUUCGUGCCAGCAGCCGCGGUAAAAC